rnacentral:lncRNA from 1 species
CGGAAGCUCUCUAUUAAUUUAGGUUGCUCCCCCUUGCCACCCGACACGUCAGUCAAUUAGAAAUGUCGGCGAGCAUUAAAGGAAAACUUAGGUAACACAUUUCCCUUGGGGUGCUCAACUGCAGCACUCUGUCAGCUCUUUAAAGAGCUCAGAUGCAGGAGCACAGCUUCCUUGGUGCUUGCUAACUUUAGAUGUCGGGUUGGGCCGAUUUACAUAUAUGGGAGGAUGCAGAGAAUGCUUUCAUCUUCUGUUAGCCUCAAAGGAUGCUUCCUAAGGCAGGCGUCCAUCUCCAAUAGUCAGGGCUCAAAGAAACCCAUUAAUUAAUUCUCAGUAUCUACCACAGAUGAGUCUUCCAAGAUGCAGAGCCACUAAAGCCAUCAACUUGAGCACUGUUGGAUUAGAGGCGUGAUCUAAUGGUGGCAUUCUUUUACUGGAAUAUGUCUUCCCAGAAGCAGAGAUGGUGAUGUUGGAAGGUGCUGUCCAGUCUACUCUAGCUUUCUUUAAGUGGGUAAAUGCCUCUGGCAGCAUCUCUGGCAGAUUAAUGAGUGUCUUCACUGAUAGGAAGUGCAUUAUUUCUGAGGUAAUGCACAGGUAGAUAUGCAGGUAUGAGUAAAAUCUACCCUUUGUUCUAAUGCAUAUGACAUUUCCCUAUUGUCUUGAUUUGGUGAUAGUACUAUGGCUUUUAAAAAUUGUUUCUUUAAACUAGAAGUUUCUGUUAUUUAAUUUUUGACACUCAUGAGGUUUCUGAAGAUAACAAGGACUCUAUCAGGGACUGGAAGACAGGCAUUGUGUGACAUUUUAGCCAGGAAAACCCAUGCAUUCUCCCUGUGUCCUGAGAACUUGGAUGGGUUUAGUUUGAAAUCGAUGGGCUGAUUAGUUUGGAAGAGGAGAUUUCAUGACAGGAUCUUAUUCAAAUUGUGCAAAGAAGCAACUGUGACUAAUAAAGAAACCAGCACCGUUAUGGAGAAAACUCUGGUACCGCAAUGGGAGAGGUAUCCUGAUGGCAAAACUCUAUCCUUGGUGGAGAUUCCACCCUGUGAGGUUCCAAAUUGAUUUAACGGAAAACAGCUUAAACUAAAGGGGUUCCUGGCUCUUCCAGUCAGUUGCCUAGGAAGGCUGCUCCCCAAACACAAAGAAGCUUUUACAAUUGUGGUCCAAGGACGUUGGGUACAUCAUAAGUCAGUAAUAGAUUUUGGUUGUGUCAUAAGUGUUGUUCAAAUGCUCAUAGCUUUGAAGACAAAGACACAAGACUGAGGGAGUCAGGGAGAGCAACUGAGGUCAGAUAGUGGGUGGCACAGGCACCCUGCAAAGAAGCCCUGGGAAGUCACUGCACCACCCUGUGAUGGGGAAGUGUCAGGUGCAAUAGAAACUCUAGGACUCUGGAGCUGCCAGGCUAUGGGACAUCUGCUAAGAUGUGGAGUGGCACAGCCUGAGCUUAAGUGAGAAGCUGUCUGUGCUGCUGCUGGCAGAGCUGGGGGCCUCUCGGGAUUACAUCGCAAGCUCCACAUGCUGGACAUGGAGCUGCAGGACUGGGCUCUCCUUUUGUGUCGUUGAUAAUUUGCUAUGCCCAUGUUCUCCUGUUUUAGAGUAAGAAUUACUCUAUGCCAUGGUAUGCUGGAAGUCUGCAACUUGUUUUUGAUUUUAUAGGAGCUCACAGUUAAAGAGAUUUUGGACUUAUGAAGUGUUGGAAUUUUUAGGAAUCUUGGAGACUUUUAAAAGUUAGACUGUGUCCUGUGUUAUGGGAUAAACAUGGAAUUUUGGCGAUGGUGUAGGAGGUUAUGGUUUAAAUCAACAUUUGAGUAUCAAUUUCACAAGGGGUUUAGUUGUGAUGGUUCAUUUUAAUUUUCAGUUUGACAUGCUCUCGGGUCACCUGGGGAGAGAGUCGUAAUGAAUGACUGUCUAGCUCAGGGGAUUGUUUAUAGGGAUGUGGGCAAGUCCACAGGGAAAUAUCUUAAUUAUAUUAAUUGAGGUUGGAAGGCCCGUCCACUGUGGGCAGCACUAUUCCCUACAUUGGGAUCAGGCAAGCUAAGUAUGAGUAUGCAUACACGGACCCAUUCUUUUUCUUCUUUUGGCUGUGGAUAUGACUUGAUGCUUCAAGCUCCUGCUGUCUUGAUUUCCUUAGUAUUAUGGACUGAAGUUACUUGGAAUGGUAACCUAAAAUAAACCCUUUUUUCACGAAGUUGCUUUUGUGGGGGAUAUUUUGUCAUAGCAACAGGAAAUAAGCUCGAUAUUUUGCUUUUGGAAUUUCAUUACAAUUUGAAAAAUACUAGUUUUAAAUUCAUUUUUGCGCUAGCCAGAAACAUACAAGUUGUAUCUAGAUUAUCAGCUAGCAAUGGGAAAAUGUGAUACUUGCCUUUGAAGACUUUUUUUCCAAGUUGUGGAGGAACUUUUUGAAUGUGCGAGUUAUAAACUGACCACUCGGUAUAUCUCUAAGACAAAAAGACAGCUACCAGCUACCUUGGCUAUUAUAUCUGAUCUUGUCAUUGAUGGUUUUCCUGAGCUUUAGCAAAAUGCUUUUUUUGAAAUGAGUAGAUACUUGGAAAUAUUUUGCUAAUGAUACCCUUUUUGAUCUGUCUUUGCACAAUGUUAAGGAGGUCCCCUGAAAAAAGGUGCCUGCCACCAACCUGAGGUCCAUCCCUGGAACCCACAUGCUAGCAGUAGAGAGCUGACACUCCCACAGAGUGUCCUCUGGCUUACACACACACACACAUACACACACACAGAGCAUGCAAAUGAGCAUUUAUACACAUAAAUGUAGUGAAUUAAUGUACUUUUCCAAUAUUUAUCAGUAUCUGUAGCAUAGAAGAUAGGACAAAUAAGCCCUUUAGGACAUAGUUAUAUCUAAUUCCUUUUAAGAUUCAUUUGUUACUUGAGGUGGAGUUUCACCAAGUGUCUUAGUCUGAUUUCCCAGUCUCAAGCUCUCCUGCCUAUACCUCCCUGGGAUCUGGGACUACAGAAAUAUACACAGGGCUACUUUAUCUUUAAAAAAAGAAAAGUCUGAGCAAGCCUCCAUCCUCCUGGCAAAUCCUGCUCUUCCGGAUGUCUCAAGGUUACUAAUAUUGAUGAGGCCACUGCCCUCAAGUGCCUUCAGUACCCUAGGAUGUGUGAGUGUGCACACUUGCGUUUACCUGCAGUGACUUAUUGCUGUUUUCACAUCAUCCUACAUCAUGAAUGGGGCUUUGAGUCCUCUUUGACUCUCGUUCUAACCUCUCCUGAGACAAACAUAAAUGAGAGCGAGAAGGGACAAGCUGAGUAUCUCCUGCCCCCUGUCAUCCUUUCUUACUGUGCCACAGGCUCUGUGGCACCACUACCUACCUCCAAACAGCCUCCUAUGAUAGUUAGAAGUCUCUUCCUUUUACGCAGCACUUAGUACGCUGCAACUUGGCCUUCCUCACACGUGUCUGCGUCGCUCCUACCAGCCCGGUGAGGCGAAGCUCUUCCUACUAUUACAGCUCACCAGAAUGCCAAUCUAGUAUAUAGAUUCAGACAUAGAUCAUUCUGAGACUGAGCAUGGAGCUCAGUUGGGGAUGGCGCUUGCUUAACAUAUACAAAGGCCUGAGCUCAGUGCCUGGAAACACGGGGUGUGCUAGCACAUGCCCGAACCCCUCAGUAUGUGGGAGGCAGAGGCAGAAGAACCUGGAGUUCAAUGCCAGGUC